rnacentral:misc_RNA from 1 species
CCGAGUGAGGGGGCAACCCCGACCUCCAACCCCAUGUUGUUCAUACCAUGUUGCCUCGGGGGCGACCCGGCCUUCGGGCGUCGGGGCCCCCGGUGGACCCAUAACACUGCAUCUGUGCGUCUGAGUGAUCAAUCAAUCAAUA